CCCUUAGAUGUUCUGGGCCGCACGCGCGCUACACUGAUGCAUUCAACAAGCCUAGCCUUGACCGAGAGGUCCGGGUAAUCUUUGAAACUGCAUCGUGAUGGGGCUAGAUUAUUGCAAUUAUUAAUCUUCAACGAGGAAUGCCUAGUAAGCGUGAUUCAUCAAAUCGCGUUGAUUACGUCCCUGCCCUUUGUACACACCGCCCGUCGCUCCUACCGAUUGGAUGUGUUGGUGAGGAGCUCGGAUUGGCAGCAGUUGGUGGUUCGCCACCGGCUAUUGCUGAGAAGUCCUCCAAACCGCCCCAUUUAGAGGAAGGAGAAGUCGUAACA
rnacentral:rRNA from 1 species